rnacentral:rRNA from 1 species
UACAGAGGGUGCAAGCGUUAAUCGGAAUUACUGGGCGUAAAGCGUGCGUAGCCGGUCAUGUAAGUCGGGUGUGAAAGCCCCGGGCUCAACCUGGGAAUUGCAUUCGAGACCGCAUGGCUAGGAUGCGGAAGAGGGAAGCGGAAUUUCCGGUGUAGCGGUGAAAUGCGUAGAUAUCGGAAGGAACACCAGUGGCGAAAGCGGCUUCCUGGUCCAGCAUCGACGUUCAGGCACGAAAGCGUGGGGAGCAAACAGG